UACGUAGGGUGCAAGCGUUGUCCGGAAUCACUGGGCGUAAAGCGUCUGUAGGUGGUUCGAAAAGUCCACUGUUAAAAAUUGAAGCUUAACUUCAAAGAUGCCGUGGAAACUUUCAAACUAGAGUGUGGUAGGGGUAGAGGGAAUUUCCAGUGGAGCGGUGAAAUUCGUAGAUAUUGGGAAGAACACCGGUGGCGAAGGCGGCGUUCUGGACUGCAACUGACACUGAGAAACGAAAGCCAGGGUAGCAAACGGG
rnacentral:rRNA from 1 species